CAGCACCGGCGAAAAUCACUCCCAGAACCAGCCCUUCAAAGUAAAAGCCCCAAGGUGUAGACGCACAUGGACAGAAGCACAAGUGUCCACAGGCAGAUGGUGGGUGUCCAUGGACAGAGGCAUGGGUGGGUGCGGGUGCCCAUGGACAGACGGCGGGUGUCCACGGACAGAGGUGCUGGUGUCUAUGGACAGAGGUGCAAGUGUCCACAGACAGACGGUGGGUGUCCACGGACAGACGGUGGGUGUCCACGGACAGAGGCGCAGGUGUCCACGGACAGACGGCGGGUGUCCACGGACAGAGGCACGGGUGUCCACGGACAGAGGUGCUGGUGUCUAUGGACAGAGACGCAAGUGUCCACGGACAGACGGUGGGUGUCCACGGACAGAGGCGCGGGUGUCCACGGACAGACGGCGGGUGUCCACGGACAGAGGCGCGGGUGUCCACGGACAGAGGCGCGGGUGUCUACGGACAGAGGUGCGAGUGUCCACCGACAGACGGUGGGUGUCCACGGACAGAGGUGCUGGUGUCUAUGGACAGAGGUGCGAGUGUCCAUGGACAGACAGUGGGUGUCCACGGACAGAGGCGCAGGUGUCCACGGACAGACGGCGGGUGUCCACAGACAGAGGUGCUGGUGUCUAUGGACAGAGGUGCGAGUGUCCACAGACAGAAGUGCUGGUGUCUAUGGACAGAGACGCAAGUGUCCACGGAGAGAGGCGCGGGUGUCCACGGACAGAGGUGCGAGUGUCCACCGACAGACAGCGGGUGUCCACAGACAGAGGCGCAGGUGUCCACGGACAGACGGCGGGUGUCCACGGACAGAGGCGCGGGUGUCUACGGACAGAGGUGCCAGUGUCCACCGACAGACGGUGGGUGUCCACGGACAGAGGUGCUGGUGUCUAUGGACAGAGGUGCGAGUGUCCAUGGACAGACAGUGGGUGUCCACGGACAGAGGCGCAGGUGUCCACGGACAGACGGCGGGUGUCCACAGACAGAGGUGCUGGUGUCUACGGACAGAGGUGUGAGUGUCCACAGACAGACGGUGGGUGUCCACGGACAGAGGCGCGGGUGUCCACGGACAGAGGUGCUGGUGUCUACGGACAGAGGUGCGAGUGUCCACAGACAGACGGUGGGUGUCCACGGACAGAGGCGCAGGUGUUCACGGACAGAGGUGCUGGUGUCUACGGACAGAGGCAUGGGUGUUCACUGACAGAUGGCAGGUGUCCACCGUCAGAUGGCGCGUGUCCACAGACAGAGGCGAUGGUUUCCACCCACGGAGGCAUGGGUGACCCCAGUGUGUAUCCAAUGGCGGGUACUCAGAUUUCAGAGGAAGGACAUCCUGGCUCACGCCACCACAGGGAUGGCCUUCAAAUGGUGCAGUGGGAGCACUGUCACCAGAAGACGUGGCCACGGGCCUUCACACGAUGCAGCUGGAGGUGUCCCAUCUGCACAGACAGAGCCAACAGGGAAUGGGGACCCAG
rnacentral:lncRNA from 1 species